rnacentral:rRNA from 1 species
UACGUAGGCAGCAAGCGUUGUUCGGAGUUACUGGGCGUAAAGAGCUCGUAGGUGGUUUGUCGCGUUGUUCGUGAAAACUCACAACUCAAUUGUGGGCGUGCGGGCGAUACGGGCAGACUGGAGUACUGCAGGGGAGACUGGAAUUCCUGGUGUAGCGGUGGAAUGCGCAGAUAUCUGGAGGAACACCGGUGGCGAAGGCGGCCUGCUGGGCAGUGGCUGACACUGAGGCGCGACAGCGUGGGGAGCAAACAGG